rnacentral:tRNA from 1 species
CAGGGUGUAGCUAAGGCAGUAAAGCAUCUCCCUUACACUGAGAAGUCGUCCGUGCAAAUCGGGCCUCCCUGA